rnacentral:rRNA from 1 species
GUAGAUGGCAAGCGUUGUCCGGAAUUAUGGGCGUAAAGCGCGCGCAGGCGGGUCCUUUAAGUCUGAUGUGAAAGCCCACGGGCUCAACCGUGGAGGGUCAUUGGAAACUGGGGGACUUGAGUACAGAAGAGGAAAGCGGAAUUCCAAGUGUAGCGGUGAAAUGCGUAGAGAUUUGGAGGAACACCAGUGGCGAAGGCGGCUUUCUGGUCUGUAACUGACGCUGAGGCGCGAAAGCGUGGGGAGCAAACAGGAUUAGAUACCCUGGUAGUCCACGCCGUAAACGAUGAGUGCUAAGUGUUAGGGGGGUUUCCGCCCCUUAGUGCUGCAGCUAACGCAUUAAGCACUCCGCCUGGGGAGUACGGCCGCAAAGGCUG